UUUCGUCCCAAAGGAUCACAAAGUGUUUGUGAACCUAGAUGCUAUCUUCAUGGAAAUAGUUUAUCCUUGACAGAGACAGUGGGAGAAAAAUUUGAGCUUGAAGAGAAAGUCUCUAAACAGCAACGAGCCAUUGUGCCUAUAGAACCUAUUUAAGCCAGUACACGUAGUACCUCCUCCACCUCGAAAAUAUAGUAGAAUCUCUCGUCCGUCUGAAAGGUACUUAGGUAUGCUUACAGAGGAUGUAGAGGAAGUGUUUCUCAUGAGAGAUAGGGAUCAAGGUAAGGAUCUUAAAACCUACAACGAGGCGAUGUUAGACAUCAAUUCCGAGAGAUGGCUGGAAGCGAUGAAGU
rnacentral:lncRNA from 1 species